CAGGAGUUUGAUCCUGGCUCAGGAUGAACGCUGNCGGCGUGCCUAACACAUGCAAGUCGAGCGAUCUCUUCGGAGAGAGCGGCGGACGGGUGAGUAACGCGUGGGUAACCUGCCCUGUACACACGGAUAACAUACCGAAAGGUAUACUAAUACGGGAUAACAUANGAAAGUCGCAUGGCUUUUNUAUCAAAGCUCCGGCGGUACAGGAUGGACCCGCGUCUGAUUAGCUAGUUGGUAAGGUAAUGGCUUACCAAGGCAACGAUCAGUAGCCGACCUGAGAGGGUGAUCGGCCACACUGGAACUGAGACNCGGUCCAGACUCCUACGGGAGNCAGCAGUGGGGAAUAUUGCACAAUGGNCGAAAGCCUGAUNCAGCAACNCCGCGUGAGCGAUGAAGNCCUUCGGGUCGUAAAGCUCUGUCCUCAAGGAAGAUAAUGUCGGUACUUGAGGAGAA
rnacentral:rRNA from 1 species